UGCAUUUAAGUUUUAACUGAAAAUUGUUUUUAAAUAUUUUGUAUUAAGAAUAAAGUUGUUCAGAUAAUUAUUGUUUGAUUGUUUCCGUUACUGACUUAUUCAGUAUUUUCCAAGUACUAGUUAUCAUAUAAACAUUUUCGUUCUAAUUAUGGUGUGUAGUAGUGACUUUAUUUACUACAAUUAUACGCAUAUUUAACUGACUACAAUAUUUUCAGAUUGCAAUACAGCAGACAAUGAAAGCCAUGGUGAGACAUGAAUUCGCGAUUCUAUCAGUUUGGAAAAUAUAAACAUCCUACGAUGACAAUGGACUAGAAGAUACUGAUAAUAAUAAUUGUUUUAUUCAACAUGGCAAUACAACAGAUGACUCAAGGAAUGCUGAGACAUUUAUUCAUAUGCAUACAACUUUGGAAAAGUAUGAACAUCCAAUGUUGAAAAUGAACUAAAAGAUACUGAUUAUAAAGAAUUAAUGCAAUGUACGUGUAAUGGUUAUUGGCUGUAGUUGAUAGAAAAUUAAUAGCAAUGUAUCUAAAAGUUACUCAAAUGCUUCCCUGUCCAUAAUAUUAAUUAAAUUAUUUUAAUUUACCAUUAUCAACUAGAAUACAUUUCAUUUAAGCAGAUAAUUCAUAAACAAAAUAAAACACGAUUUUAUAUGAUAA